rnacentral:lncRNA from 1 species
AAUAUUAAUCAUCUUAGAAUACGAAUCAAAACCACGAUAAAUCAAUAAUGAAUCCAAACUUUAUACAUAAGCUCCAGGUUGAGCAGUAUGUAAAGAUUCAAGCAUCAACAAGCUUUAUAUUGUUAGAUCAUCAAUUCUUUCCAAAGCGAUCCAUCUGCCAUGUAAAGUAAUGAGCAAACUAAAUUUAAGUUGGUGACACAAGCACCCGCCCAUGGAUAAAAGUGCAUAAUAACAAACAUGACAUGUGACGUGAGGAGGUGAGCAAACUGAAUUCAAGUUGGAAGCACAAGUAUAUUGAUCAAAGUGCAUCGUACAUGGCACAACGGAGAACAAAUACAUAAACGAGACCCGAACCCAAGACUUCCUAAAAUCAGAACCCUAAUAUCAUGACAGGUCACUAACUAUGUACAAUCCAGCUCCACCAUUGGUUUCAAAAAAAUUAAUCAUACACUUGAACAAGAUAAAAAGCUUUUGUAUGCCACUUGAUGUGAUGAUCCCAAAACUAGCUUUAUCACAGUCACUGAAUGGGGCGAACUACUUGCUAACAAUCCUCUUCGUUGUAGGGCAUUUAUUGUAAAUGCAAGUAGUUGCUAUGCAAUGAUUUGUUUUGAUAUUAAUACAAAGCAACAAUCACAAUCGUGGAGUAAAAAAUGAAGGAUUUAAUUCAAACGAAAAAGGGGAAACAAAAAAAAAAUAACCAAAACCCUAGAACCUCCCCAACCCAAUUCAAGAAGGUCACUAUUCAUAUGCCAUGGCCUUGCUAGAGAUUCAGAUGUCUGGGUGGACCUGUUUCAGCACCUUAAAGAUGUAGAUCUUGUACGUCUCAACAAUCUUCUCCGUCCUCUUCCUCUUCUUGUCUCCUGCCGCUGCGGCGCCACCCUCGACAGCUUAUUCCUCGCCUUCGGCUUCUUCUCUACCAGGGCCUUCUCCUCCACCAUGGUCUUUUUCUCCUCCGCCGACUUGGGCGCCGAGGCUUCUUCUCGAUAUUUGUCGCCAUGGUGAAUAGAGAGAGUUUGGGGUGGGAAAAGUUUUAGAGAGAGAGAGAGAGUGAUGAAAAGAAUUUUUUUUUAUUUUGCUGUCAAAACGACGUCGUUUCGUCGUUUUGGCAGCUGCGGUAAACUAUUCGGUAAACUAAGCGGUAAGGGUAGGCUUUCUCAGUGAUAAAAUGGGCACUGGCUGAACAAGUGAUUAUUGUCAGUGCUCAAAUAAAACCACGGCCACAAUUCAAGAGAGUAUGGUGAAUUUUUUUUUGAGAAUAUCAAAUUAGUUAGUAUUAAUAAAAUAAUUUUAAAAACAUUGAAAUACUAUAUUUGGUCGCAUUCUUUGAAUUAUCCAUUGCUUCGAAAUACUCUAUUUUUUUUUUGGUUAUUUUAAACUUUAAAAUAUUUUUUAUAGCACUUGGAAUUUUUUAAGGAAAACUACAUUUUGUAUCCUCAACUAUAUAAAUACUUGUAAUCAACCCCGACAUUGAAGAUUUGUCUACAAAAUGAACAAAAAUAAUCAGUUAAGUCGUCACAUGCAGUGGCGGACACAGGGGAGUGGAUAGGGGCCACGUGUCUCCUCUCCCCCAAAUAUUUGAAAAUUUCUGUUAAUUUUGAUUAUUUUGCUAUUGAUCCAUUAAAAUAUACACAACUAACUCUCUCAAACUAUUAUCCUUAUUUCUAAUGGAGUGGCCCUCACAACUUUCAGACAUCUAUUCUUUGUACAAGCUAACUGUUUUUUUCAACUUUAUUUAUAUUUACACCAAGGUUUUAUGAAUUUUACAUCACAAAUGAACUAGUUUGAAGCGCACGAAUUACGAAAUGGAAGAUAACUCUUGGACUUUCUCUCUCAUUACUAACUUUUGUGCUUCAAUUUCUCAAUAAUCAAAAAACUUUUUUUUCCUAAAAAAUUAUUUAAUUUCUGGACAACACAACUUAGUCAUGUAAUUCUCAUUUGGAGGUACUUAUUAUAAUCUAUGUGGAGGUAUUUAUUUUUUUUGUUUUUGAUUAAUGUGAAAAAAUAGUCAUGUAAUUCUCAUUUGAUACCUUUUGUUCUAGACAUGACUAUCUUAAUAUUGGCUGAAAGCCUUUUUGCAGAUAUAAUGAACUUAUUUAUUUUUUUGUGCCUAUAAAAGUGAAUCUAUUAAGGCAAUUUAGAUACAAUUCUUUUACACAUUGUUAUCAAUUUUGAAAAUGUAUAAUUUGUCCCACCUAAAUGUAAUUCCUGAGUCCGUAACUGACCACAUGUUGAUCGAGAGGCAACCCAUGUUAAUAAAAUAUUCACGUUCGAUUUAUCUUCUACUUUGUUCGAUCUUUAAAUAUCUCUUUCUUCGUUUACUGUGAGUAUGUGAGACAAAACAAUAUUGAAUUUGAAUAUUCUCUAUAAUGUUAAAUAGGUUACCUUGAAUUCGGGUUGGAUUAAUACAUGAUAUGCGAUGAACGUUGAAUGUUUAGAGAUUGAUUGAAACGAUUUAUAUAGUUGAGUCACUUUUAGUCCAAUGAUUUUCUCAUCUGGCCUU